rnacentral:rRNA from 1 species
GACGAACGCUGGCGGCGUGCUUAACACAUGCAAGUCGAACGGAAAGGCCCUGCUUUUGUGGGGUGCUCGAGGGGCGAACGGGUGAGUAACACGUGAGUAACCUGCCCUUGACUUUGGGAUAACUUCAGGAAACUGGGGCUAAUACCGGAUAGGAGCUCCUGCUGCAUGGUGGGGGUUGGAAAGUUUCGGCGGGUGGGGAUGGACUCGCGGCUGAUCAGCUUGUUGGUGGGGGAGUGGCUUACCAAGGCUUUGACGGGUAGCCGGCCUGAGAGGGUGACCGGCCACAUUGGGCCUGAGAUACGGCCCAGACUCCUACGGGAGGCAGCAGUGGGGAAUAUUGCACAAUGGGCGGAAGCCUGAUGCAGCAACGCCGCGUGCGGGAUGACGGCCUUCGGGUUGUAAACCGCUUUCGCCUGUGACGAAGCGUGAGUGACGGUAAUGGGUAAAGAAGCACCGGCUAACUACGUG